UCAAACUUGGUCAUUUAGAGGAAGUAAAAGUCGUAACAAGGUUUCCGUAGGUGAACCUGCGGAAGGAUCAUUACUGAAUUGUCAACAGGAGUUGUUGCUGGUCCUCAAACCGAGGGCAUGUGCACGCUCUGUUUACACAUCCACUCACACCUGUGCACACUCUCUGUAGUCCUAUGGCUUGGGGGCUCUGUUCCCUUGCCGUGGUUCUGCAUCUUUACACACACACUGUAAUAAAGUCUUAUGGAAUGUAUGUCGCGUUUAACGCAAUAUAAUACAACUUUCAGCAACGGAUCUCUUGGCUCUCGCAUCGAUGAAGAACGCAGC
rnacentral:misc_RNA from 1 species